rnacentral:rRNA from 1 species
UACGUAGGGUGCGAGCGUUAAUCGGAAUUACUGGGCGUAAAGCGUGCGCAGGCGGUUUUGCAAGCCGGAUGUGAAAUCCCCGGGCUCAACCUGGGAAUGGCAUUCGGGACUGCAAGGCUGGAGUGCGGCAGAGGAGACUGGAAUUCCUGGUGUAGCAGUGAAAUGCGUAGAUAUCAGGAGGAAUACCGAUGGCGAAGGCAGGUCUCUGGGCCGAUACUGACGCUGAGGAGCGAAAGCGUGGGGAGCGAACAGG